GAAAUACUAUAUUAUUUCAUAGCAAACUGCUUAGUAACACAUGAUCAACCUACCCUAUGGAGGGAACUAACCUCGGGAAACUGAGGAUAAUGGCCCAUAGCAGAUUCGGCUUGGAAAAGUGUUUCUGUGAAAGGGAUGCGGAAUUGUCCGUAUGUGCCAUAGGAUGGGAUUGUGGUCGAUUAGGUAGUUGGUGAGGUAAUGGCUCACCAAGCCGAUAAUCGAUAGGGGCCGUGAGAGCGGGAGCCUCAAGAUGGGUACUGAGACAGCGACCCAGGCCCUACGGGGCGCAGCAGGCGCGAAACCUCCACAAUGCACGCAAGUGCGAUGGGGCUACCCAAAGUGCUCCACAAGGAGCUGUGGUGGAUGAGUAAUGUUCUCCACUAGAAAGGAGAGGGCAAGGGCUGGUGCCAGCCGCCGCGGUAAAACCAGCUCUUCAAGUGGUCGGGAUAAUUAUUGGGCUUAAAGUGUCCGUAGCUGGUGAGGUAAGUUCCUGGUAAAAUUGGGCAGCUUAACUGUCCUUAUGCUAGGGAUACUGCCUUACUAGAGGGCGGGAGAAGUCUGAGGUACUACAGGGGUAGGGGUGAAAUCUUAUAAUCCUUGUAGGACCACCAGUGGCGAAAGCGUCAGACCGGAACGCGCCUGACAGUGAGGGACGAAAGCCAGGGGAGCGAACCGGAUUAGAUACCCGGGUAGUCCUGGCCGUAAACGAUGCGCACUAGGUGAUGGUGCGGCUAUGAGCCGCAUCAGUGUCGUAGGGAAACCGUUAAGUGUGCCGCCUGGGAAG
rnacentral:rRNA from 1 species